GCAAAAGUUGCAGCAUUAUGAUAAUAAACCAGUUUGGCAUUGAGGUUCGAGGCACCAAACUGCUUUUCAAGGAAAAAAAAUGUACUAUUUUAGAUGCUGUCUGAACAAGUUGUUUUUUCAUUUUAGUAUUCUUAUGACUAAAUCUUAUCAAAUUUAAUUUUAAAUCAUUUUUUAAUACUCUCUAACUAAUCUAUUUAAAAAAAUAAUUUUCUCAAUAUCAGUUCAAUAGCAAUGGCAAAAAGAUCUUUAUGCUAAUAGUGUUGACAACUGAUUGAUGUUAAUUGUUUUGUCUCCCCAUGCCAUUCAUUUUCCUAAUAAUACCAUUCAUUGGUUUGGCUCCCAUUUGAGUUGAAAAUCUUGAGCAACAACUGCUAUUUCUGCUAUACACUGUUAGUUAAUGAUCAUCUCAAUGGCUGGAAAGGUGAGAAUCUUUACACCUUCCAUGUGUAAGAAAAGACAUGGUCAACUUCGAUAUAGAAAUUGCUUUCAGGAUAAGGUAGAUCCAAAUGAAAGGGAUUGGAGAGAUUGGAAUCCAAGGUGGAUGAACUAUUGCCACUGCUUUUAUACAGUUCUGCUAGUUGAGCAAAUUAUCCAAUGUAGAAUUUUUCAUGAUAAACGAAUAAUUA
rnacentral:misc_RNA from 1 species